CGUAGGUGGCAAGCGUUGUCCGGAAUUAUUGGGCGUAAAGCGCGCGCAGGCGGUUCCUUAAGUCUGAUGUGAAAGCCCCCGGCUCAACCGGGAAGGUCAUUGGAAACUGGGGAACUUGAGUGCAGAAGAGAAGAGCGGAAUUCCACGUGUAGCGGUGAAAUGCGUAGAGAUGUGGAGGAACACCAGUGGCGAAGGCGGCUCUUUGGUCUGUAACUGACGCUGAGGCGCGAAAGCGUGGGGAGCAAACAGGAUUAGAUACCCUGGUAGUCCACGCCGUAAACGAUGAGUGCUAAGUGUUAGAGGGUUUCCGCCCUUUAGUGCUGCAGCUAACGCAUUAAGCACUCCGCCUGGGGAGUACGGCCGCAAGGCUG
rnacentral:rRNA from 1 species